GCCAGACUCCUACGGGAGGCAGCAGUGGGGGAUAUUGCACAAUGGGGGGAACCCUGAUGCAGCGACGCCGCGUGGGUGAAGGAGCGUUUCGGCGCGUAAAGCCCUAUCGGCAGGGAAGAAGGAGGACGGUACCUGACUAAGAAGCCCCGGCUAACUACGUGCCAGCAGCCGCGGUAAUACGUAGGGGGCAAGCGUUAUCCGGAUUUACUGGGUGUAAAGGGGGCGCAGACGGCAGCGCAAGCCAGGAGUGAAAGCCCGGGGCCCAACCCCGGGACUGCUCUUGGAACUGCGCGGCUGGAGUGCAGGAGGGGCAGGCGGAAUUCCUGGUGCAGCGGUGAAAUGCGUAGAUAUCAGGAGGAACACCGGUGGCGAAGGCGGCCUGCUGGACUGCGACUGACGUUGAGGCCCGAAAGCGUGGGGAGCAAACAGGAUUAGAUACCCCCGUAGG
rnacentral:rRNA from 1 species